CCUACGGGCGGCUGCAGUGGGGAAUAUUGGACAAUGGGGGCAACCCUGAUCCAGCCAUGCCGCGUGUGUGAAGAAGGCCCUCGGGUUGUAAAGCACUUUCAGUGAGGAAGAACGCCUGGUGGUUAAUACCCAUCAGGAAAGACAUCACUCACAGAAGAAGCACCGGCUAACUCCGUGCCAGCAGCCGCGGUAAUACGGAGGGUGCGAGCGUUAAUCGGAAUUACUGGGCGUAAAGUGCGCGUAGGUGGCUUGAUAAGCCGGUUGUGAAAGCCCCGGGCUCAACCUGGGAACGGCAUCCGGAACUGUCAAGCUAGAGUGCAGGAGAGGAAGGUAGAAUUCCCGGUGUAGCGGUGAAAUGCGUAGAGAUCGGGAGGAAUACCAGUGGCGAAGGCGGCCUUCUGGACUGACACUGACACUGAGGUGCGAAAGCGUGGGUAGCAAACAGGAUUAGAUACCCUUGUAGUC
rnacentral:rRNA from 1 species